rnacentral:lncRNA from 1 species
GUGAGAAGCAGCUGUGGAGAGCUGAUGCACAAGCCCACAGUAGGGUGAGCAAGCCUGGAGUAGGGUGACAACAUGGAGGAGGGAGCGCCUGGCUCUGCCAGGAAUCGGCCAAGGCUCAACAGUGUUUAUGCCUUAAGACAAGAAAACAGCACGGAGUUGAGAGCUUAAGCUCUGGAACUGGGCAAGUUCUCUCAAAGCCUCAUCGGGCUACUCUAAGAAUUAAAUUAAAACACUAACAAGCACAGAAUAAGCUAGUUCCUGAUAUAGUAAGAGCUUAUUAUGUGCCAGGAACUGUUAGACCCACGUAUUGAGGGACUGAAGUUUCAGCAGCACAUGAGUGACCUUCGAAAUGGAUCCUCCAUCACCUUCAGAUGACUGCAGCCCUGGAUCACAACUUCACCACAACCUUGAGAGUGACCCUCACCUUGAACCUCCCAGCCAAGCUGUUCUCAGAAGGCCAGCUAACUUCCAAAAUUACCCCAGGAUUCAUCAUAUCAAGGGGCAAAUGGCUUCCUGUUUCUCUCUGUGUCCUCUCAGGGCAUUAGUGUCUGGCCCUCUCUCAAGACUGUCCUCUGGUGGAGCUUUUGUGCUGCAUUGAAACAUGGAGGAGAAGGUCAAAGGGGAAGCAAGCAUGAAGAGGGACCAGACCAGAGGGGCAUCCUGGAUUUAUAGAAACCUACUCUUGGGGGAACUAAUCCAUUCCUGUGAGAACUAAACCAGUCUCACCAGAGCAAGAAAUCACUCACUGCCACAAGGACAGCACCAAGAUAUUCAGGAAGGACCUGUCCCCAUGACCCAAACACCUCCCACCACACCCUACUUCUCAACACAGACACACGGGGGAAUCAAAUUUCAACAUGAGAUUUGGUGAAGACAAACAAACCAUAUCCUAACCAUAGCACUUCCCAAGAAUGGCAUAAGAUUUAACUGAGGUAAUGUUACUGAAAUGCCAGGGGUUCACUCUAGGUCCUUCUGCUUGCCACACAGAAAGCCAAUCACUGAGACAAUGAGUAUGACUAGGGAAGAAGUCUUUAAUUAGGUGCUGCAGCCAAGGCAAUGGGUGAUUGGUCUCAAAUCUAUCUCCCUGACUAACUAAAAUUAGAAGUUUAUAUAGCAGGGAAGAACUAUAACCACGUAUGGGAAAACAAGAAUUAGUGAGGGGUAAGGAAGAGGAGUUGGUCAACAGGAAGCAGGUGGCUGGCUAGGCACUCAUGACAGGUGAGGGGUCUGGUGUUUCACUGUCCAGAUGCAGUGAUCUGGUAAGUUUCAGUUCCUUGAUACUAUCUGGGAGGGCUGAUGUUUGGUUUUCUGAGAAAGGAACUCAGAUAAAAUAAAUGUUUAGUGCUUCAGUGGAAGUUUAUAUAUAUGUAACUUUCCCAAGUUUCAAGACUGGGAGGAUGAAUUUCUAUGUUUAUUCAAAAGAAACCAUAAACAUCAGUUCUAGGGACAAUUGGGCUGGCUUCAGUCAUGCACAUUUAGCCCUUUCCUGUACCCUACAUCCCCUCUAUUUGAAAGCAGUGGUCCUACACUCAAACAGUCUUCAGGUCCUCACCUCCAACCAUGACCUCCCUCUUGUAUGUCUUGUCUUUCUAAGGGAUCCCCAGUCACCCACCCAAAAAGCUAGUGGCUGUCCAAGGCUCCUCCUUUGCCUUCAUCCUCCCGGCUCUGAACAACUCCUGGCCACUGAUUCCUGUCUGAGUUAGGAGUUAGAUGCAUCUGCUCUGAGCUCCCCUGAUCUACACGUACUUCACAAUGUGCACUUUACCCACACUGGUGAAUGCUCAGUAGACUCAGAUUGUCUUGCAGGAAGGACUUAGGGUUUUUAUCUCUGAAUAAUGAUAUUUGUGGAACUAAAGUGAAAUAAAAGAAUAAUAGCUCAA